rnacentral:rRNA from 1 species
UACGGAGGGGGCUAGCGUUGUUCGGAAUUACUGGGCGUAAAGCGCACGUAGGUGGCUUUGUAAGUUAGAGGUGAAAGCCCGGGGCUCAACUCCGGAAUUGCCUUUAAGACUGCAUCGCUAGAACGUCGGAGAGGUAAGUGGAAUUCCGAGUGUAGAGGUGAAAUUCGUAGAUAUUAGGAAGAACACCGGUGGCGAAGGCGGCCCACUGGAUCGGUACUGACGCUGAGGUGCGAAAGCGUGGGGAGCAAACAGG